ACAUGUAGUUGCAGUCUGUCUUUGGAAGCUGUAGAAAUAACAAGAAAGGGACUGACAUAGUGUUUUGGUAGGGAAAAGUUUGAGUAUGUACAUGUACAGUUGUUUGACCUGUCUUAACCUGUGGCAGUCCAAGUAGAUGUUACCAUUAUGAAAAAUGCAGGAGAACUUGAAGACAAUGGUUAGUGCAGAAGGGACAUAAAAGUUAUGA
rnacentral:lncRNA from 1 species